AUUGAACGCUGGCGGCAUGCUUUACACAUGCAAGUCGAACGGUAACAGGUUAAGCUGACGAGUGGCGAACGGGUGAGUAAUGCAUCGGAACGUGCCCGGUCGUGGGGGAUAACGCAGCGAAAGCUGCGCUAAUACCGCAUACGAUCUGAGGAUGAAAGCGGGGGACCGUAAGGCCUCGCGCGAUCGGAGCGGCCGAUGUCAGAUUAGGUAGUUGGUGAGGUAAAGGCUCACCAAGCCAACGAUCUGUAGCUGGUCUGAGAGGACGACCAGCCACACUGGGACUGAGACACGGCCCAGACUCCUACGGGAGGCAGCAGUGGGGAAUUUUGGACAAUGGGCGAAAGCCUGAUCCAGCAAUGCCGCGUGCAGGAAGAAGGCCUUCGGGUUGUAAACUGCUUUUGUACGGAGCGAAAAGGCUCUCUCUAAUACAGGGGGCUCAUGACGGUACCGUAAGAAUAAGCACCGGCUAACUACGUGCCAGCCGCCCGCCGUAA
rnacentral:rRNA from 1 species